CCUUCUUCUUCCCAGCCUCAACCUUAUCUACCAUCCACCGCGUUCUCUCUCCCUCCUAUGUCCUUUUCCCUUCUCUCUAUUUCUAUCCCAUCUCUCUCAACUGCCGGGAGCGAGGGAUGCAGAUCUGGUGGAGGUUGCAAGUUAGAGCUCCAUGGCUCCCACGUUUGGUGUCAGGAUCCCAUCGGCCCACAACUCUCAAGACCGCUCAUGGGCACCAAAUUUUUGUGCGCCCACUAAUCAGAUUCGGUCGUCUUCGACCUCAACGGCGGUAGAUCCGGCCCCGACGGCGGCGGAUCCGUCUGGUCUACGCUAGCUACACCAUGACACAAGGUGCCUCUCCUGGAGAGGUCAGACGGGCGAUGGCGCGGUGGCGACCCCCAUGCUUGCUUCGUCUUCUCCAACAUCAUUUUCCUGCCGUUGGUCCACUUCUACUUCCGCUCCUCUACGCCCUGCGUGUCUGGCACCACCGCCUCCAACACUCCGCCUCCACUCAAGAAUAUAUCUUACUAUUCUGAUGUUGUUUACAUAGUGUUUUUGUUCCAAAUAUACAUUGAUUUUAAUCUGGUGUGCAUAUUGGUAGGUUUCCUAUUUACCUUGGACUAGAAUCUAUAUAGUUGUGGUUUAGAAUGAAUAAACAUGUUUGAUCUAUUUGUGGCUACUUCAUUGGAACUAGCAAUAUCUGUGAAGAUUUUCUUUUGAUACAUUAUGAGUAGCUGUGAUAAUAUGGUAAUUUAGAUAAUACGUUGAUCUGUUUGUGGGUACUACAUGCUUGUUCAAUGCAGAAAAACAUGAAUGGCGUUAGGGGAGUCAUUGCAUAUACCCAGUAGGAAGCGGACCAUGCUUUUCCUCCACUGACAUUAGUAAAAUCAUCCAGCUUCACAGGCAGUGCACAAUAAUUGCUCUGCAUUUUUUGUUCUCAAGAGAGUCAAAUUGUUUUCCAUCUGCAUAGUUUUUUGUGAUGUUUUAUCGACAGUUAGAGUAACCAUAUUGGUUUGGCUUGUUUCAUUGACCGGAAUUGUUAGUGAUUUGGACAACAGGGACUCACUUUUUUGGUUCUUCCAUAAGUUAACCACACAUUCUUUAUGUUUUUUAGGAUGCCACUUCUGUUAGGACCACCAAAAUCAGGCAAGACUAAUUUGCUGCUUGUGUUGGCUGGAAGGCUUGACAAGUACCUCAAGGAGAGCUGGGUAUCGGUAUGUUAUGAAGAAGAAAAGGGAUGUCUACUGUUUAUAAGCGUUUAUGAAGUUUCAGCAUUUGCUAGACGCAUGGGUUAUCCUUGAGAAGAAGAAUGUGUGGAAGAUGUUUCAGGAUGCAUAGGCAACCUGAGCAUUCUCUCCACUUGAAGAGCAAAUGUUGGCAACAUUCUUCGAAGCUUAUAUUCCGGUGUAUGACGUUCCUGGUUUCUCAAAGACAUUACUUCUAGCAUGUCGAAAUAACAAUCAUGGACACUCGGAAGAAUAUUUUUCCUACUGUGUAUUGCAUUUUCGAAGAUGUGGCUGCGAGCUGGUUAAUGUGACUGACCUAUAGGGGUAUGAAUUGGUCUACAGAAGUUCUUUAUGCAUUUCUUAGCCGGUGGUGGUGGCUGUUAUUAUCAGAUUAGUAACUCACUGACUUGAUGAGGAUUCAAGCACAAAGUUAUUUUAGGAAUA